rnacentral:rRNA from 1 species
GACGAACCGUGCGAACGUUAUUCGGAAUCACUGGGCUUAAAGCGCGCGUAGGCGGGUGGGAGCGUCGGCCACUGAAAGCCCCCGGCUCAACCGGGGAAGGGGUGCCGAGACGUCCCGCCUGGAGGGGCGUAGGGGGAUCCGGAACUUCCGGUGGAGCGGUGAAAUGCGUUGAGAUCGGAAGGAACGCCCGUGGCGAAAGCGGGGUCCUGGACGCCAACUGACGCUGAGGCGCGAAAGCUAGGGGAGCAAACGGG